rnacentral:rRNA from 1 species
AUCGCGUCGCCCCCCAACACCGUGUAUGAAACAUUGCCGGUUGUUGGAGGGCGGAUAUUGGCUUCCCGUGCUUCGGUGCGGCUGCCUAAAUGCAAGUCCCUUGCGACGGACACGACGACAAGUGGUGGUUGAUUACCUCAAACCUCAAGUUGUCGCACGUUGACCCGUCGGAUAAGAAGACUUCCUUGACCCAUAUAGAUGACUCGUCAYGACGCCUGCCACGACCGC